AUGAUGCUGCGUUUAAAACAACUGGGAAGUCGAAAAAAAACACGAUGUUAAAUCAUGGCAUCAGUGAUCUUUAGGUCGGAAAGUCUGAGCUCUAGGGAGAGACCUGACUUCCCGAAAUGCAUGACCAUUCAAAUCGAUGUUUUCCCCAGUCAGAGCAAUUUUUUUCCCUCCGAGUUCCCAGGAAGUCGGAGAAUUCAGAGUUUCCAGUUGAUUUGAACGCGACAUGAGCAACCAGCAGGAAAAUUGACAAGACUUAGUGUUAUUGAAAUUGACAAAACAAAAAUUAAAUAUAUAGCUAUUUACUAAACAGGGUAAGAUCUCUUUUAUAUAACGUUAGCCUAAUACAAUUUGGAAACCCAACUUUGUAGUAACGUUAACUAGCUACUAUGGCUAAUAAUGCUAACGUUAGCUAGCUGUUUUUUUUUGUCUAGCUGACUUGCUACUGAAGUUAGCUAGUUAAGUGCUUUUGACAAAAUGUUACAAUGUCGGAGAGACCGCAAGGUUGUCGAAAACCAAAUGCAAGUCUAAAAUGAAGGGGAGAAUGUCUUGCUUUUUUUUUUUUUUACUGUGGACAAAUUGCCCGAUUGAUUUGAUGAGAAGGUAAUAAUCAUUUCAACGUCAUAGGCGAAUGAAUGUAUUAUAAAGAUCUAUAUGUAACUAACCCAAUAUAGUUAAUUGGUGUCGUUUACAAUGGGAACAAAUGAAGCAAGUAGGUGGGUAAAGUGAACGCACUAGCAAGCGAGAUCCUAUUGGCAUGUAGCAAGUAUUUGCAUAAAUUUACUGUGACGUGUGUGCGGUGUGCAUAAAUCAAUUCGACCUUGCACUCCUAAACAACUCAAUUUAAAGUCUAUAAAACGUAUUGCACUUCCUAUCAGAUGCUAGAUUUUGGAACAUAAAUGUAUUGAUCAUAUGUUACAUCAAUGAGAAAAUUAUCAGAAUGUCUGGCCAGAUUCACCCAAAUUGUGUUCGAAUACUCAUACUAACUGUACUAUUUGUGACUAAAUUGAGUAUGUAGUGUUCUUAUUGGUCAUAGUAUGGAUAUAGUUAGUAUGCCAAAAGUUCCAGGAUGUCGUACUAAAUUCGCCAAAAUACAUCAACGUUGAAUAUGGCCGGUGUCAUUAAAUUGUUUCCAGCAGCACAGUCUCCAACUUUUUGGACAACAUAUAAACAGCCUAAUCAGCUCUGCUAGGGCGAGCAAAAUGGUCAGAGUGAGGUGUCAUUUGUGUCUGGAAGUAGCUAGCAAGCUAUCCAACGACGUUAACCAGUUAGCAAGGGUGCUUGACUGCCAUUGUGAGUCGGAUUAACCCUACUCCUCGGCCAGUGCGUCAUGAACGCUCUGAAUUUACGAACGCCAGAGGGCACUCCAGAUACGCUGGAAACAUGAAACACUUUUUUUCUGAUAAAUAGUUCAUUGCAUCUGCCGUGGAGCCCAGUUUCAUAAUAUGAACAUAUUUCCCAGCUGCUUGCUGUUGUUUUGAAGUAAUCACGAAAAAAACUGCUUAUUUUAGGGCAAUUUUCACCCUGCCAGCUCCUAUUAGUUCUAUUGAGCAUUGUGGCACCAACUCGCCUUCCGAACAUUCUAUUCCCAGUUUAUUGUUAUACGUCACACUGCCUGCUUCGCUAUUGUUGGCAAUGAGACCCGCUCACAUUGUUUAUAGAUUGACACCAUCGAGGUGCGGAUGUUUACUUCUACAGAAGUUUUUUUUUUCCAGUUUCGUCUGGUGAACAGAUUGUAGUGGUAAAAUAAAAAGGGAUACAUUUUUUGGUGCCAUUUAGGCGAAAUGGAAGUCUAAGCAUCACUCUAGUCAAAACAGGCUCUGCGAACAUUUGAUUCCAUUCAUUUGCUAUGGCCUCGUGCUAGUGUUCCAGCUUAGCCAACGUCCUUUUGCUGUUUUUCAGCCUUGGGUGAAUUUUGACUCGUUCUAUUGUUCAGCCUCCUCCCGAUUGAAUUUACGAACACACCCGAAGUAAAACAUUUUUUUAUAGCAAGACAGGUUGCAUAGCAACAGCAUCAACUUCCGGCAGACAGGUGAAGCGCUAGUACACUCAACUGAAAGGAUAAUGUUCAUUUACAGUAUACUAAAAUGAAUUUAUAGUAUGGAGUGUAUAUACUCAUUAAGUAUGUAGUAUACAGUAUUACUAUGGGUAUUCGAACACAGCUCUAGUUCCAUCCUUUCCCACUACCCUCAAAUGGACUUCCUCUCACUACCAUAUUUGGUGGCGAGAAAAUGUUCCAAGGGAUGCUUCAGCUUUAUAGCCCAUGUGACUUGUCUGGGUUACCUUUUCUGUCUGUGUCAUAGCCUUAGCUGGUGGUAACUUGUGGAAUAGACACUGACUUGAAUGCAGCUUUAACCAAUCAGCAUCCAGAAGUAAACCACCCAUUGUAAAAUACAUGUAGGUAGGGGUGAAGUGACUAUGCAUAGAUAAUCAACAGUGAGUAGCAGCAGUGUACAAAACAAAUGGAGGGGGGGGUCAAUGUAAUAGUCCGGUGGCCAUUUGAUUAAUUGUUCAGCAGGCUUGGGGGUAGAAGCUGUUGUGUCGUCAGCAAACUUAAUGAUGGUGUUUGAGUCGUGUUUGGCCGCGCAGUCGUGGGUGAACAGGGAGUACAGGAGGGGAUUAAGUACACACCCUUGAGGGGCCCCCGUGCUGAGGAUCAGCGUGGCAGACUAGUUGUUGCCUACCCUUACCAGGAUCCAGUUGCAGAGGGAGGUGUUUGGUCCCAGGGUCCUUAGCUUAGUGAUGAGCUUCGUGGGCACUAUGGUGUUGAACACUGAGCUAUAGUCAAUGAACAGCAUUCUCACAUAGGUGUUCCUUUUGUCCAGGUGGGAAAGAGCAGUGUGGAGGUCGAUUGAGAUAGCGUCAUCUGUGGAUCUGUUGGGGCGGUAUGCGAAUUGGAGUGGGUCUAGGGUAUCUGGGAGGAUGCUGUUGAUGUCAGCCAUGACCAGCCUUUCAAAGCACUUCAUGGCUUCCGACGUGAGUGCUACGGGGCGGUAAUCGUUUACGCAGGUUAACUUCGCUGCCUUGGGCACAACAAUUAUGGUGGUCUGCUUGAAGCAUGUAGGUAUUACAGACUCAAUCAGGGAGAGGUUGAAAAUGUCAGUGAAGACACUUGCCAGUUGGUCUGCGUAUGCUUUGAGUACACGUCCUGGUAAUCCAUCUGGCUUUGUGAAUGUUGACCUGUUUAAAGGUCUUGCUCACAUCGGCUACCGAGAGUGUUAUCACACAGUCAUCCGGUACAGCUGGUGCUCUUGUGCAUGCUUCAGUGUUGCUUGCCUCGAAGUGAGCAUAAAAGGCAUUUAGCUCGUCUGGUAGGUUCGCAUCACUGGGCAGCUCGCGUCUGGGUUUCCCUUUGUAGUCCGUAAUAGUUUUCAAGCCCUGCCACAUCCGACGAGCGUCAGAGCCGGUGUAGUAGGAUUUAAUCUUAAUCCUGUAUUGACGCUUUGCUUGUUUGAUGGUUCGUCUGAGGGCGUAGCUGUCAAGACUUCUGCGGAAGUCGGUCCCUCUCCUAGUUCGGGCGGUGUUCGGCGGUUGACGUCACCGGCCUUCUAGCCAUCGCCGAUCCACCUUUCAUUUUCCAUUGGUUUUGUCUUGUCUUCCCUCACACCUGGUUUCAAUUACAUCAAUUACAUAUGGUGUAUUUAACCCCCCCAUGUCCUUGUCCAGAAUUCUUUAUUGUAAGUGCUUGUGCACGUCUGAUGUGCGUCGGGUUAUGUACCCAUUUAUUGAUUGUUCUAUUUUACCCCUUACAGUAGCGGAUUUUCAUAUAGGCGUCCAGAUUAGUGUCCCGCUCCUUGAAAGCGGCAGCUUUAGCUCGAUGGGGAUGUUGCCUGUAAUCCAUGGCUUCUGGUUGGGAUAUGUUUGUACGGUCAAUGUGAGGACGACGUCAUCGAUGCACUUAUUCAUGAAGCCGAUGACUGAGGUGGUAUACUCCUCAAUGCCAUGGGAUGAAUCCCGGAACAUAUUCCAGUCUGUGCUAGCAAAACCGUCCUGUAGCGUAGCAUCCGCGACAUCUAACCACUUCCAUAUUGAGCGAGUCACUGGUACUUCCUGCUUUAGUUUUAGCUUGUAAGCCGGAAUCAGGAGGAUAGAAUUAUGGUCAGAUUUGCCAAAUAGGCAGGGGAGAGCUUUGUAUGCAUCUCUGUGUGUGGAGUAAAGGUUGUCUAGGAUUUUUUUUGUCUGGUUACACAUGUGACAUGCUGGUAAAUACGAGGAAUAACUGAUUUAAGUUUGCCUGCAUUAAAGUCCCCGGCUACUAGGAGCGCCGCUUCUGGGUGAGCAUUUUCUUGUUUGCUUAUGGCCUUAUAGAGUUGGUUGAGUGCGGUCUUAGUGCCAGCAUCUGUGAUGGUAAAUAGACAGCUACAAAUAAUAUAGAUAGUGUGGUCUACAGCUUAUCAUAAGGUACUCUACCUCAGACAAGCAAUAACUCUACCCUUCUUAAAUAUUAGACAUUGCGCACCAGCUGUUAUUGACAAAAAGACACACACCCCCACCCCUCGUCUUACCAGACAUAGCUUCUCUGUUCUGCCGGUGCAUUGAGAAUCCCUCCAGCUCUAUGUUAUCCGUGUCGUCGUUCAGCCACGACUCGGUGAAACACAAGAUAUUACAGUUCUUAAUGUCAUGUUGGUAGGAUAAUCGUAGGUCAUCAAUUUUAAUUUCCAAUGAUUGCUUAUUAGCAAAUAUAAUUGAUGGCCGUGGGAGUUUACUCGCUCCCCUACUGAUUCUCAAAUGGAAGCCCGAUCUGCGUCCUCUUCACGCAAAUGAUGGGGAUCUGUGCCUGUUCCCGGAAGAGCAGUAUACCCUUCUCGUUGGACUCGUUAAAGGAAAAAGCUUCUUCCAGUUCGUGGUAAUUCACUAAGGAUACAGUUACAAGGCCCACCAGCCCCUGCCAACAGUGGUCUAAACAGUCGCCUUGUGAUCUGUGAUCUACAAGGCUGCCAGUGCUGGACCGUCUGAUCCAAAUUUGGAAUCUUGGAUGGCCCCACCCCCAUUGAGAUCUAAGGAGAAUGAGAAAUGGAGCGACAUAAAGAUGUCCAGGUUUGGUCACAGUGUUUUUUGGCUCCGUCCAGCAAGCCAAACUUCCAGCCCUUUGUGGAAGAGUCGGAUCAGCCUCCGACCAUGACACUGUAAGAUCAACCCAGCGGUGAAUUUGGUGUUGUCUGCAUGAAAGCCCUGCGGGGAUGAGACUCCUCUGAAGAGACUGCAGCAACAUCAGCAGCAGGAAGAGGGGAAAGCUCAGAAGCAGAGCAUGUAUUGCAAGGACCUGUUGCUCAGUGUCGCCUCUGAGUUCUGCUUUUAGGAACUGAGGGCAGAAAGCUACCACCAGAAGAAGGCCUUGGAGUCAGGGGCAGUGUCAAGGAAGAGCAAGGGGGCUCUGGUCUUCCAAACUGACACCUUUCCACCUGAACAUUGACAUGACAUUUCCAUGUUCAGAUUGUUUUGUAUUUAGGUAGCAGACUGUCAGUAUCAUCUGUUAUGUCUUUGUUGUCUUUCGUCAUGCAUGUAUUUUACUGUUUGUGAUGUGUAUAUAUAAACUGCAGUUGGAAUGGCAUAGGUCACACCAGUCAUAGCCAUAGAUCACUAUCUAGGCUCUGGGCCACACAGUAUCCCAGAGGGAAAAAUCAUCUAAUGUAAUUGGAGAAAAUGGUGCUAUGAUUUGAGAACUGAAAUACUGGUGGUUGUUGUUACUGCAUAUCCUUGGAUAUUCUGCAAUAAUUGGCUGUUGAGACUGUUCUGUAAUAUAUUUUCUUUCAUGGCAAUUCACUACAAAACGGUAUUCUACAUUUUACAUUCAUUCCACUCAUCUAUUAUGUUUGGAAAAGGGCUUUAGAUAACAUGCCAUGUUCCGUCUGGUUCCUCUCUCCAUUAUUUCUUUGCCUUCUUCACGUUACCUCUUAGGAAUUAAACUUUCAGUACCCCAUGUGGUGAAGGUAGUGUAUGAGAAUGACAGAGAGAAAUCCAGAGGAGUCUAUGACAAGGCUCAAUUCACAUUAUAGAUGUCACUGCUGUAUAUAUUGGUAAAAAUGUCCCCCCAAGGCCAUGUGGUGAUAGUGUUAAAUAAAUGUGAAAUAAUGGUGAUGACUCUUGUGAGAAUCAUUGCCUGAUUAACUGGAGCUUGUCGUAUAAGUCACUAUCAGUAGAGGGCAUGCAAGAGGAGCUCUGGAUGGGAGAGGCACUGCAGACCACAAAGUUCAAAUAUGGGUUACUUUGCAUGUUUUUCAUCUGAUAAUGUUAUUUGAACCUCAUUGAAUAUGAGAGCAAAGGGUAUACUGCUCUACACAUGUUCUUGCUGAAAGCUAAAGUCGUAAACACUGGCAGCUUGUCACAACAAGAAACGAGCUGCACCAUAAAUAUGGUGAACUGAGAUAGUUUAAUGCAGCCACUUGGAUAUCUUAAUUAUUCAAAUGUAAUUAUUCCAUUCUCUAAUGAGAGAGUGUUAUGUUGUAUUUUUCUGUUAUGAAAACUGCCCACAAUGAUAUAGCUACUUGACGUAUUGUAUUACAUCCAGAAUCUUUAUCAUUAACUGUGCUGGGCCCGGUUUCCCAAAAGCAUCUUAAGUUCAUCGUUAGAACCAUUAAGCUAAAUGGUUCGAACAAUGUUUCUAACGGAGCUCAUGCCUCUGGGAAACCGGGACUAGAUUUUCUUAAUUGUUGUCCAAUGAGGUUCAGUUGGUCCCCACUGGUAUAGUUAAACAAUAAGGCCCGAGGGGGUGUGGUUGAUAUAUGACGCAACGUGGAGUGCCUGGAUACAGCACUUAGUCGUGGUAUUAUGGCCAUGUACCACUAGGGUUUCACAUUUUGGGGAAUAUUCAGAGGUGGUAACUUUCCGUGGGAAUAAAUGGAAAUAUAUGCAAAUUAAUAUUAAUACAAUUUAAAUGUAGAUGUUUUUUUGCAUUGGAUAUAUUUACCAUUUCAUAUGGAGACAGACACAUAAACCCUUUGCCUUAUCAUAAGUAGACAUAUUUGCAAAUGAUUAAAUUGUAUCAAUAGAAAUUAUUUAGUUACGAAUUAAUUAAAUGAGUUGACUCUU